GACGAAGGAUGCAAGCGUUAUCCGGAUUCAUUGGGUUUAAAGGGAGCGUAGGCGGUCUUGUAAGUCAGUGGUGAAAUCUCGCAGCUUAACUGCGAAACUGCCAUUGAUACUGCUUGACUAGAGUACAGAUGCUGUGGGCGGAAUAUGACAUGUAGUGGUGAAAUACAUAGAGAUGUUAUAGAACACCGAUUGCGAAGGCAGCUCACAAAACUGUAACUGACGCUGAGGCUCGAAAGUGUGGGGAGCGAACAGG
rnacentral:rRNA from 1 species